UACGAAGGGGACUAGCGUUGUUCGGAAUUACUGGGCGUAAAGCGCACGUAGGCGGAUUUGUAAGUCAGGGGUGAAAUCCUGGAGCUCAACUCCAGAACUGCCUUUGAUACUGAAGAUCUUGAGUUCGGGAGAGGUGAGUGGAACUGCGAGUGUAGAGGUGAAAUUCGUAGAUAUUCACAAGAACACCAGUGGCGAAGGCGGCUCACUGGCCCGAUACUGACGCUGAGGCACGAAAGCGUGGGGAGCAAACAGG
rnacentral:rRNA from 1 species